GACGAACGCUGGCGGCGUGCCUAAUACAUGCAAGUAGAACGCUGAAGGAGGAGCUUGCUUCUCUGGAUGAGUUGCGAACGGGUGAGUAACGCGUAGGUAACCUGCCUGGUAGCGGGGGAUAACUAUUGGAAACGAUAGCUAAUACCGCAUAAUAUUGACUAUUGCAUGAUAGUCAGUUGAAAGGUGCAACUGCACCACUACCAGAUGGACCUGCGUUGUAUUAGCUAGUUGGUGGGGUAACGGCUCACCAAGGCGACGAUACAUAGCCGACCUGAGAGGGUGAUCGGCCACGCUGGGACUGAGACACGGCCCAGACUCCUACGGGAGGCAGCAGUAGGGAAUCUUCGGCAAUGGACGGAAGUCUGACCGAGCAACGCCGCGUGAGUGAAGAAGGUUUUCGGAUCGUAAAGCUCUGUUGUAAGAGAAGAACGAGUGUGAGAGUGGAAAGCUCACACUGUGACGGUAUCUUACCAGAAAGGGACGGCUAACUACGUG
rnacentral:rRNA from 1 species